rnacentral:rRNA from 1 species
AUUGAACGCUGGCGGCAGGCCUAACACAUGCAAGUCGAACGGUAGCACAGAGAGCUUGCUCUCGGGUGACGAGUGGCGGACGGGUGAGUAAUGUCUGGGAAACUGCCCGAUGGAGGGGGAUAACUACUGGAAACGGUAGCUAAUACCGCAUAACGUCGCAAGACCAAAGUGGGGGACCUUCGGGCCCCACACCAACGGAUGUGCCCAGAUGGGAUUAGCGAGUAGGUGGGAUAAUGGCUCACCUAGGCGACGAUCCCUAGCUGGUCUGAGAGGAUGACCAGCCACACUGGAACUGAGACACGGUCCAGACUCCUACGGGAGGCAGCAGUGGGGAAUAUUGCACAAUGGGCGCAAGCCUGAUGCAGCCAUGCCGCGUGUAUGAAGAAGGCCUUCGGGUUGUAAAGUACUUUCAGCGGGGAGGAAGGCGGUGAAGUUAAUAGCUUCACCGAUUGACGUUACCCGCAGAAGAAGCACCGGCUAACUCCGUGCCAGCCGCCGCAGUAA